rnacentral:tRNA from 1 species
AGUUCCUGUGGUUUAAGCCUAUAACGGUGGCUUUUCAGGCCACAGAUCUUGGAAAAAAAGCCAAGCAGGAACUGC